GUUUACGGCCAUACACACUCUGGUUAGUACUCAGAUGGGAGACCACCUGGGAAUGCCAGGUGCUGCAAGCU
rnacentral:rRNA from 1 species